rnacentral:rRNA from 1 species
GAUGAACGCUGACAGAAUGCUUAACACAUGCAAGUCUAUGAGAAGAUCUACUUCGGUAGAAGGUAUCAUGGCGGACGGGUGAGUAACGCGUAAAGAACUUGCCUCUUAGACUGGGGAUAACAGAUGGAAACGUCUGAUAAGACUAGAUAUAAUAAUGACAUGGCAUCAUGUUGUAUGAAAGGUAACACUAAGAGAGAGCUUUGCGUCCUAUUAGUUAGUUAGGUGAGGUAAUGGCUCACCAAGACGAUGAUAGGUAGCCGGCCUGAGAGGGUGAACGGCCACAAGGGGACUGAGAUACGGCCCUUACUCUUACGGGAGCAGCAGUGGGGAAUAUU